ACAAAUAUAAUGAUUGUAUAAACCAAAUAUUAUUACUUAAUAUAAUGGUUUACAUGAUGGUGUACAUAAUUAAGUUAAUCUUGAUGGUGUACAAAAUGAUUGAAACUAUUAUGACGAUUGGAUAGAAUGGUGUAUACAACUUUUGAAUGAUAUCAUACAAGAUUGGUAAACAAAGUGUACAAAACUUGGUGUACACUUACAGGGAAUGUAUAAAUCAUUAUUUCAGUUAGUGGUGUACGUCAUCUCGUACACCAAUUUUAGUACAGUCUCAUAGAUCUUUAAAGCUGUACGAUCAUGUACACCAUAUUUUCAAUCAUCUAUGUACAUCAUUUUGUAUACUAUUAUACUCACUCUAUCACUUCUUACGAUAAUAUUAUAUGUUGAUUUUUACAUUAUUAUCGUACACUAAUAUUUGUACACCAGUUUUAAUAAUAUCACGUAUACUGUCGGCUGGGAUUAAAUAAAAAAAUGCUACAUAUUUUUGAAAUAUAGCAAAAUUAGUCUUUUUAGAUUCACAUACAAAAUUUAAAAAUUAAUAUGAUUAUAUGGUAAUUUUUUAUGAAGAAUUAUUAUUAAACAAGGUAAAA
rnacentral:sRNA from 1 species